rnacentral:lncRNA from 1 species
GGGAAAAUUACGCACAAACCUACUUUUCAAUUUUUCAUUUCAAUAAUCAAAUCAAAUAAAUUUUAUUUCAAAAAUCAGGUGUCAAUCCACCACACCUCAUUCCACAUCCACUUUCCAUCUCUAUUUUUGUCCCCAACCCUAACCCCCAUUUUCAACCCCACGAAUCCUGCAAAGUCAACCUCACUUCUCACCACCUAUUGGGGAAAUCAGCUCCCAAAUACAAUUUCCUCCUUCGAUUGUCCACACAACACCAUGUGGGUCUAACAAUCUAAAAACCUUGAAUCCAAUCGCCGUCGAUUGGACCCAUAGUUUCGGAGCUACACCCAUGGUGUCAUCAUCGCAUUCCGCCGCUACUCCAACCAUGGGUCUUCAUCAAAUGGACUAAAUUCUAUUUCUAGUUGUACUACAUUUGUGCUUUUCUACGUCUAUGUUGCAUCUAUAAUUCUGUGUUGGUGGUUUAUCGUCCAAUGAUAAAUUUGGAGUGUUUUGUAAGUGAAUACGGUGGUGAUGACAGAGCUUUGACCGUAGAAGUCGUGGUGAAUUUGAGGUGUGUUGAAAGUAGUGGUGGUGGUGGUGGUUUGACUUGUAGAGAUGAUGGUGGAUCUGAAGUGCGAGGGGUGAUGGUUGGGAGUUGGAGGUGGAGGUGGAGGUGAUAGGUUGUAUUGACGAUAGUCAAGCAUGUAAUCUUUUCAAGCUGUGGUAAUGGUGCAGUGGGGGUGGUUUUGAGGAGGUGGUUUUUUUGGAUAUGGUGGCGACUAAUUUUUGUUGGUGGCAGUGGAUAUGGCGGUUGAGGUAAUUUUUGUUGAAUCUGGUGGUGGUGGUCUUGGUCAUGGUGCUACCGUUGUUCGCAAUCCUAUUAGGUUGUAUUGGUGGUGGCGUGGUGUGGUGCGGUGAGGUGAUGCCAAUGGUGAUAGUUAGAAUUUGUUGAAAGUGAUGGUGGUGAGCAUUUGACAUUGUUGGUAGUGGUGGUAGUGACGAUGAAAAUUGAGCAUGAUCAAAUCUAUCUUCAUUGUAGCUGUCUGUGAUCAGAUCUAUAAUGACUGUGACUGUAUGUGACUUGGUUACAUAUAGUCACAAAUUAAACUGAUAUGGUCACAGAUAGUCACACUAAAAACAAAAUAGGUCACAAUUAAUCACAGAUAACAAAGGUCAAUGAAUGUAGUAAAGUUGGAGGUGAAAGUAGUAGUGACUGGUGGUGAAUUGUGGUAUUGGAUUGCGGUGUGUGAAGAUUUGUUUUGGUGACUCUUUUAGAUCAAGUAGGUGUUUAUUGUGGAAGUUGUGACUAAUUCUGUAUUAACUGUGAUCGAUUGUGACUUGAUCACAUAUUGUCACAAUAAAUAUUGAAUUGAUCACAGACAGUCACACUAAAUACUAAUUUGGUCACAAUUAAUUAUAGACAACAUAUGUUAGUGACACACUGACAUGGUCACAGACGGUCUGGUCACAGUUAACACAGGUAUUGUCAGAAACUAUAAAUCUGGUUACGUAUAACACAGUUAAUCACAAAACUAGUCAACUACAAUAUAACACUACUGCAAUCACACAUUACUCAAAACGUUGCUAACACCUCAUCACCACCACCAAAUAAAUUAACUGCAGUGCAACUUCAUUACCUCUAAUACAUUAUCUUUGCCACCAUACAGAUCUAUUUUUUUAACACAACGCCACCUCACCACCACCAUCUAUAAAAAAAAUUUGUGUUUAAAUAUAUAUAUAUAUAAAGAGAGAGAGAGGGAGAGCUUCUGUGGAGAGAAAAGACAGUUUUAAUUUUUACAGUCAUCGAAGCGAUUGUUGAAACUGUCGUUGGAGUGAUUGCCAGAACGAUCGUUGGAGCAAUCGUCGGAGCUGAUGGUCAUCUUCGGUGGAGAGGUAGAGGAAAGGUGGUGUAGUAGGGUGAUAGGAUGUGGUAGGUGAGAUUGCAUGGGUGGAAAUAAUUACUGUACAUUAUAUUAUAUUUUAAUAUUUAAUAAGUUUAUUUACCACCUGAUUUUGGAAAUAUUUUAAUGAGUUUGUUAUUUAUGAAAUGUGAUCUUUGAAACUAGGAGUUAUGUUAAGAUCCC